UACGUAGGGGGCUAGCGUUGUCCGGAAUCAUUGGGCGUAAAGAGCGUGUAGGCGGCUUGGUAAGUCCGCUGUGAAGGUCCAGGGCUCAACCCUGGAAUGCCAGUGGAUACUGUCAAGCUAGAGUCCGGAAGAGGCGAGUGGAAUUCCUGGUGUAGCGGUGAAAUGCGCAGAUAUCAGGAGGAACACCAAUGGCGAGGGCAGCUCGCUGGGACGGUACUGGCGCUGAGACGCGAAAGCGUGGGGAGCAAACAGG
rnacentral:rRNA from 1 species